rnacentral:tRNA from 1 species
GCCUAGCUAGCUUACUUGGUAGAGCGUCUGCCUUGUAAGCGCUAGGCCGCGGGUUCGAUCCCCGCCCGGGGCG